GAUAAACGCUGGCGGUGUACAUAAGACAUGCAAGUCGAACGGGAGAAGACAGGAAGAUUUAUCUACUUGUUGGACACCGUGGCGGACGGGUGAGUAACACGUAAGCAACCUGCCUAUAAGAGGGGAAUAACAGUGAGAAAUUACUGAUAAUACCGCAUAAGCUGGAGGUAUCGCAUGAUACAUUCAGAAAAGAUUUAUCGCUUAUAGAUGGGCUUGCGUCUCGAUUAGCUAGUUGGUGAGAUAACAGCUCACCAAGGCGACGAUCAGUAGCCGGAUUGAGAGGUUGAACGGCCACAUUGGGACUGAGACACGGCCCAGACUCCUACGGGAGGCAGCAGUCGGGAAUAUUGCACAAUGGAGGAAACUCUGAUGCAGUGACACCGCGUAUAGGAAGAAGGUCUUAGGAUUGUAAGCUAUUGUUGUGCCAGCAGCCGCGGUAAUACAUAUGGGGCGAGCGUUAUCCGGAUUUAUGUGGGUGUGAAGGGUGCGUAGGCGGGAAAAUAAGUCAGUAUGUGAAAUCCCUCGGCUCAACUGAGGAACUGCAACUGAAACUAUUUUUCUUGAGUGUUGAAGGGGAAAGUGGAAUUCCUAGUGUAGCGGUGAAAUGCGUAGAGAUUAGGAGGAACACCAGUGGCGAAGGCGACUUUCUGGGCAACAACUGACGCUGAGGCACGAAAGUGUGGGGAGCAAACAGGAUUAGAUACCCUGGUAGUCCACACCGUAAACGAUGGAUACUAGGAGUUGGCAAAAAUAUUGUCGGUUCCGCAGUUAACGCAUUAAGUAUCCCACCUGGGGAGUACGACCGCAAGGUUAAAACUCAAAGGAAUUGACGGGGGCCCGCACAUGCAGUGGAGUAUGUGGUUUAAUUCGAAGCAACGCGAAGGAACCUUACCAAGGGCUUGACAUAUACAGGAAUAUAUUAAGAGAUUAUAUAGCCUCUACGGAGUCUGUAUACAGGU
rnacentral:rRNA from 1 species